AUAAAUGACUAGAAAGAUGGAAGAACAGUUGGCUGUCUGGCUGAAGGACAUGAAAAGAUGUUUGAGUGAAUGAUACGAUGGAUGGUUUAGACACAGAAGCUAAGUCCAUGCCUUAUUCCUUCCUUCCUUCCUUCAUUCAUUAAAAAGUGUUUAUUGUUUAGCCCAAGGAAGCCAUCAUAAUAGAUAGAAUGACAUGUAUGACAUAGUGCUUGCUUCAAAAUAUUUAAAUGCCAGCACAGAAAAACAUGUAAUCCAAGACAUAAUGACAGGUGGGUCUUGAGAGUUUUGGAUAAAUGCGAAUAAAAAUUCACAAGAGUUAUAGAUUUUAUAAAGGAGGGGGUGAUUCAUGGAAAAUUUUGUGAAAAGAUUAUAUUACUAGACAGAAUCCUGAAAGUUCAAAUGUGUGGGAAGGGAAGGCAAAAUCAUAUUGAUUGAUAUCUACUUGUGAUGAGGGAGAUAUUUGGCAGUGUGUAUAAAGUUUCCUUGCUCAAAUUUGAUCUUUCUUGCCUUUCUCCUAGACAGCUCCUGGAAUGAUCUCUCAUCUUACGGCAAAAAGGUAAGAGAACUUGGCUGGGCACAGUGGAUCACUCAUGUGAUUCAAGCAUUUUGAGAGGCUGAGGCAGGUGGAUCACUUGAGGUGAGGAGUUCGAGAUCUAUAAUGUUAUUGUUUUCCCGUUUGUAAUUAGUAAAUAUUUUAUGGGAAUUACUUUUAGACAUGUAAAUUUCCCAUAUAUCAUCAUGUAUUCACCCAUUAAAUUUAGUAUUCAUUAAUGAUUUUUGCCUAAAAAUAUAUUACUUUAGAAUUUUCCAAGUAGUGUUUUCCUAUUUUCCUCAAUUCUUUUAUAUUUAUUGUUUGGAAUUCUCCAAUGAAGAAGAGCUUUCCCUAUCUUCCAUAUAUUUGUUUAUUCAAUUUUUCAUGUAUCAUAGAAUAGACUCAAGGAUUGUAAUAUUUUCUAGGGCUAUAUCCCAUCAUUAUCAUCAUC
rnacentral:lncRNA from 10 species